rnacentral:misc_RNA from 1 species
AAACCGGUCCCCACAAACCACCCAUCCACAUUGACAACGGCAGAAGUCCUGCCGCACAGUUUUAUUUGACCGCAUUCCCCACUCUUUCUUUUUUUUUUCCAAAGAUCGUCCUCCUCCCUCCCCGUCGCAUCCCGCACCGCUGACGCUGCAUUUACCUUCACGCCUGUCGUCUUGCGCCUUCGCGUCCAUUGUCGGAGGCUGCCCGCACGCACGCCUGACGGGCGGGAACGAGGAUGGGCAAGGGCCGCGACAAGCGCAAGAAGAAUGAGGACCCUGCGAAGGCCGCGAAGCGAGCCGCUCGGCAGGCGCUGAAGCUCCAGAAGAACAUGAAGAAGGAAAAUGGCGAGGAAGCGGCAGAGGGCUUCAACAACGAAGAGGCCAUCGAGGUGACGCUCAAGCGUAUCCAGAAGCAGGAAGGAAAGGUGAAAACCGUGGAAGAGGUCGCCAAUGUUGCCCCACCUACGCCGCGCGUCAACGUCGUCUUGGUGCCGCACCCGGAACGCGACAGCGAGCUCAUCCUCUUCGGCGGUGAAUUCUGGAAUGGGGAGACAACAGAGGCGUACAACGACACGUACUUCUUCAAUGCCAAGCGCAACGCCUGGGCACGCCUGUCUUCUGCUCUGAACCCCGCACCACGGAGCAGCAGCCAAGCCGUGGUCUACAAGCAGUAUCUCAUCCUGUUCGGUGGCGAGUUCGUCUCGCAGUCGCAGUCGCAGUACCUGCACUUCAAGGAUGUGUGGCGCUUCAACUGCCGCAGCAGUGAGUGGGAGGAGCUGAAGAAUCUCAAGGGCGGCCCCUCCUCCCGCAGCGGCCACCGAAUGGCCUUGUGGAAGCGCAACGCCAUCAUGUUCGGCGGCUUCUACGACAAUGCACAGGAGUGCCGUUACUUCGACGAUCUGUGGAUUCUGUCCAACCUGGACGGGGCGGGGCACUGGUCCCAGGUGAAGACGGCUCCAAUGACGGACCUGCCGCACGCGCGCAGCGGGCACAGCAUGAGCGUCUACCAGGACGAGCUCUUUGUCUACGGCGGCUACUCGACGCAGAAGUUUAACCGCUUCAAGAAGUCGGAGGCCACGGUGCACCAUGAUCUGUGGAUGAUAACCCUGCGGCAGGAGAAGGCCCUCGCCGGCGGCGAGGGACCGUUGCCAGUAUGGACGAAGAUCAAACUCGGUGGCAUUCCGCCGCCCAUCCGCUGCGGCGUCUCCUGCGCCUUCAAGGACAAGCGCCUCUACCUGUUUGGCGGCGUCGUCGACAUCGAGUCACCGGGGGGCAAGAUGGUCUCCACCUUUUAUAACGACCUCUAUGUGUUUCACAUGGACACGAAGCGCUUCUACCCUGUCGUGCUGCGGCGAGUAGCGAAGCGCGCGGCGGCGGCUGGGAAGUGCGAUCGCCUGGAUGAUCUAGCCGCCCAGCUCAGCGCCCUGGAUCUCUGCCGCGGCAAGUCGAGCAGCGAGGAGGAGAGUAGCUCGACCUCCGACGAGGAUGACGACGACCGCACCGGCCAGCCAGGGACGGCGGCUGCGAGCCAGGAGAUGAAGGAGAGUUACGAAACGAACCGGCACGGGCAAAUUCUGCCGCACCGGCGCAUGGACUCUGCCAUGGUGGUGGUGGGCAACACAUUGUACCUCUACGGCGGCCAGUUUGAGAGCAGCAAGAAGGAGAUCACGAUGUCGGACCUUUUCACGCUGAAUCUAAACAAAUUGGACACGUAUCAGCCGCUGCUGUCGCAAGAUUUAUCCGCCGCAGUGUGGCUAGGCAAGGAGUCCGAGAGCGACGCCGCUUCGUGGGAAAGCGGUAGCACGGUUGUCAGCGCCGUCUACGAUCUCGACUACGACGAGGACGACGAUGACGGCGAUGACGGCGACGAGGAGGAUGGCGCUGACGGUAUGGGGCGCCGUGGCGUGAACUUUGGUAACAUGCUGCGGGAGCCGGUGCUCGACCCUGAGGACGAGGGCGACGAGGCGCCGGAGGCAAUUCCCGCGGAGCUGGCGACGGAGGUGACUCCGAGUGUCGUGGGGGUGGCGGACGCCGUCGCUGGAAUUACGCGGACGGGAAAAAAAGGCCUCAAGGUGCACAAGGAGCAGCUCUUGGCGCAGCUCGGCGCCUCAUCGGCGGUGCCGACACCGGAGAGGGAGGAGACGUUCACCGCCUUUUUUGCCAGAACAUCCUCCUUCUGGAUGAACACGGCGCGCGAGUCCGUGGAGGGAAAAUGCACCGACCGCCGCUUGAAGAAGGAGGCGACGGAGUUCGCGAAGCAGCGCUUUUACGAGGCGCGGGAGCUGCUGGCGCAGCUCCAGCUUGUCGAGGACCGCGAGAGGGAGGAGGCGAAGUUCUUUCGAGAGCGCCGGCUGCAGAAGGAGAGGGAGUGGGAGGAGUACGAAGAGGCCCAGCGGCGCCUCGAACAGAACUCCGACCACAAAGAAGACGAUGCUCAUGACGAGGAUGGCUGACACGUAAACGGACCAGCGCUGUCACCGUGACAGCAGUCAGCACAGGAAGAAAUGCUACGGAGCAGAAUACACAGAACGACAGGAAGCGCCCGAUAGGUUAUGCUGCCGGUGUACGCGUGCCGUUACAUGCAGUUGGGAGGGGGGCUCGAUCAUGCACAUACUGGCGGGUCGCUCAUGUUCUUUUCUGCGCGAACGAUUUCUUUUCCUUUCCCACCGCCGCACCCUCCUCCUCUAAACCGAUAUGAUGAGGGGGAGGGGAGCACUGCUGAGUGCGAGGUAUCUGAAGGUCCAGUGCACCCCCCUCCCCUCCCCAGUAUCUCUGUCUGUGUGAAGCAGCUGAACAGCCCCUCCUCCCUCCUAUAUCCCUGCCAAUACCGAACUAUUCUGGGUGGCAGGGUGAAGUGGCGACGGCGUACGGGGAGGGGGAGCUCCGUGCGCGGUGUCGCUGCCGCUGUCCGGUCGCGGGUGGAGUUGUGCGUCGCGGCGACCGGCGACAGUGUGAGCACGUGUGUGCCAUUUGUAUGUGGUGUGCAAGGCCACCAUGCGCCUCGAGCGUAUCCCACCCGGCCGUCACACUGCCUACUGCUGGUGUGUGUGUGUGUGGGGGGCGAGUGGCGCUGGAGCCAUGCCAGCGUGGCGGAGAAUAAACGCUGUAAACACAGGUAAAACGAUCCACAGUCGCAGAGCUUCACACAGCGCGAUGACGCGUCCGUGUGUUGUAGUCGCGAGAGGACUUCUGCAACGACUUGCGCCCUGCAAGCGCUCUAGCGCGGCCAUGUUGCUGCGAGUGCAUCGCCUUUCUCGUAGUGGAUGUCGUUACAUUGUUGGUCACUCAGCGCACGUGCGGCUGAGAAGGGUGAAGCAUGUGUGUGACAGCACCGUUCCGGCCAACGUGCAGCGCGAGGGAAGUCAGACACGUGCCGGCCCACAGCUCCGUUGGUGAUCAGUGUCGUCGUACCUCCUCUCGCUAGGGCACUUCAACCCACGCCGCCGGGUCUCUCUGCUCCACCGCCAUUUUUCUUGUCGCCGUAUCUCUGUUUCACGACGGUUCACGCUCUCUGUCGAUCACAUGCCUACUACUCCACCUCGUUCGGUUCGUUCUUACAAUAACGUUUCUGGUGCUGCUGACAUUAG